rnacentral:rRNA from 1 species
AUUGAACGCUGGCGGAAUGCUUUACACAUGCAAGUCGAGCGGCAGCGCGGGGCAACCUGGCGGCGAGCGGCGAACGGGUGAGUAAUGCAUCGGAACAUGUCCAUUUGUGGGGGAUAGCCCGGCGAAAGCCGGAUUAAUACCGCAUGAGCCCGAGAGGGGAAAGUGGGGGACUCGCAAGGGCCUCACGCGAAUGGGUUGGCCGAUGUCCGAUUAGCUAGUUGGUGGGGUAAAGGCUCACCAAGGCGAUGAUCGGUAGCUGGUCUGAGAGGAUGAUCAGGCACACUGGGACUGAGACACGGCCCAGACUCCUACGGGAGGCAGCAGUGGGGAAUUUUGGACAAUGGGGGAAACCCUGAUCCAGCCAUUCCGCGUGAGUGAAGAAGGCCUUCGGGUUGUAAAGCUCUUUUGUCCGGAGCGAAACGGUUGUGGUGAAUAUCCACGACUACUGACGGUACCGGAAGAAUAAGCACCGGCUAACUACGUGCCAGCCGCCGCAGUAAGAC